UCUGAGGCAAACACUAAUGUACAACUCCCAGCUCUCACUCAGCCUUUCCUGUAUGGGAGGUAAAGUUCUCCAUAUUUGAAACUAUGGCUACUGUGAUAAGUAGGCAGCAAAUGGUGUGUGUAUGAAGAGAGAGAGUCAUGCUUAGCCUGCCUUUUUUUUCCUGGGCAUGGUACUACAUUUGCAAAAACAGCUGAGAUUAGAAGUGAACUUCGCUGUGAUUCCCAGCUCUGUGAACAGUGAGUUUUUGAGGAAUCUUGGGAGACUCGUUUGCUAAUCAGUGCUGAAAUUUGGUCUCCUUCUGUGUCCCCUCUACCCACAACUCUUCAGAUGGUCAUAAGUUUGUCCUGGUGAACAGAUGAAAACAGAAUUCCACCAGGGUGUGGGAUGGGCGAUGGUAGACUUGGAGGCACUCUGAGCUCACUGGAUCAGGUAAACAGAAGUAGCACUUCAAGACUUCUAGCCCAUGAAGCAACUUAAAAUUGCGGAAGGAAAUCACACAGUGAGGAGACAUCAAACCCAACACUGUUGCCGAGGUCAAAAGGUGCUUGCUAACAGGAACCUGGUGUGACUUUCCUUGGGAGGUCCGGCUAGCCACUGUCCAAUGCCGAUGUGGAUGCUUGGAGCCAACCAUCACACUGAGUUCAGGAAAUCUGUUGGAGGAGCUGACAGAGGAGUGGAUGAAGAUUGCAACCCCAUUGGAAGAACAACAUAGGCUGGCCUGAACACACAGU